rnacentral:lncRNA from 1 species
CUGAGUUUGUAUUUUCAGUGGUGAAACUGGAUGCCUGAAACAGGAAGACCUGGAGUCUGGAAAAGUUGUGUGAUGAAAACCCAAGACAAAAUUCAAUUUGAUAGAAUGUCCUGCUACAAUAUUCUCCUGUUGCUAGGGACAAUAGAAAUUUGGCAUCAUUUUCCAAAUGGGGUGGAAACUCAGCUGCACACCUCGCUGCAAGACUGGGUAUUCUCCAUCAAGAAACCAGCUUCAUCUCAGGUAAGAGAUGAGUUCUGUUCAGCUCAGCUAACCCAAGCUUUUACCCUGGCUGGGCACCGGGCUGGG